UACGGAGGGUGCGAGCGUUAAUCGGAAUUACUGGGCGUAAAGCGCGCGUAGGCGGUUUAUUAAGUUAUAUGUGAAAUCCCUGGGCUCAACCUAGGAACUGCAUAUAAUACUGAUAGGCUAGAGUAGGGUAGAGGUGAGUGGAAUUUCAGGUGUAGCGGUGAAAUGCGUAGAGAUCUGAAGGAACAUCAGUGGCGAAGGCGACUCACUGGGCCCUUACUGACGCUGAGGUGCGAAAGCGUGGGUAGCAAACAGG
rnacentral:rRNA from 1 species